rnacentral:lncRNA from 1 species
CACCUCUCCACUGAGACUUCAUAUCAGACCACUACGCUGAUAUUAGGGUGAUAGGAGUCAAGAGCAGGAAACAGCAACUGUCCUAGAUAUUUUGGAAAGAAGCAUGUGUGCCAGAGGCUGAGAAAUAAAUCUAACAUUCGCGAGCUUGCCGACUUGGUAACAGAUCUAGUGCUGUGCUGUAAUAUCCUUUCCAAGGUGAAGGAGAAGUUGCUACUUCUGACUACACUAACUACAAAAAAAAAAGAUGAACAUAACACCUAGUGAACCUCUUUGAGAUUUGAAAGCCACAUAUCCCCAUUUUUGGAGUACUAGGAAAGAGUGCGAGUUUCAAGUGGGACUUCAAGCAAGAGAAGGCUUUGUCACAGGUCCGAGUUGCUAUGUAAGCUGCUCUUAAACUUGGGCUGUAUGACCCAGCUGGCUCAAUGAUUCUUGAAAUGUCUGUGGCAGAUAGGUAUGUGUAUGGAACUUUUGUAAAGCACCUAUAGCUGAAGCACUAUAUGGACUUAAUAUUGUAGAACCAAGCCAUGCCAUCUUCUGUAGAUAAUUAUCCUACUUUUGAGAAGCAACAUCUAGACUAGUAGACUGAACAUUUGCCCUUGGAUUCCUGUUUCCCUGUAGCCUUAGAUGCCACAGUGAACUGAGCAUUGUGUGAUCCAUCAAGCCAGAAAGCUGUGUGUACAUAAUAGAGUUCUAUCAUAAAGCUGAAGGGGUAUAUUUAAGACUGGGUCUGAACAGUCACUGAAGGCAUUUAAGUAAGUUGCAUGAGAAAAUAACAGAUUCCCAUGGCUCUUAAUCUUGCUACAUUGCCAUGAUGGUUAAUAUUGAGUAUCAACUUGAUGGAAUUGAAGGAUGCAAAGUGUUGUUCCUGGGUGUGCCUGUGAGAUUGUUGCCAAAGGAGAUUAACAUUUGACUCGGUGGAUUGGGAAAGGCAGACCCACCCUCAAUCUUGAGUGGGCAUAAUCUAAUUGGCUGCUAGUGUGGCCAGAAUAAAAGUAGCAGAAGAAUGUGAAAAGACUAGACUGGCUUAGUCUUCCAGCCUACAUCUUUCUCCCGUGCUGGGUGCUUCCUGCCCUCAAACAUUGGACUCCAAGUUCUUCAGUUUGGGGAAUUGAACUAGCUUCCUUCCUCCUCAGCUUGCAGACAGCCUACUGUGGGACCUCACCUCAUGAUCAUACUCCUUCUACAUCUGUUGUUCAAGGUUCAGACUCAAUAUGCAACUAAUUUAUGAAGCCCGUUUAGACCACAACAACCCUGAUGCAAGAUGUUCUCCACUAUGUUAAGAUGCAGCAUGAAGCCCUUACCAGAAGCUAAGAGUAUUCCGUUAGAGCAACACAAAACAGACUAAGACAACUUGUUCAUUACUGAUGUACAGAUUUCACUGACCAGCAACACUCCAGUGAAACUGCAGUCAAAAUUUAUGGAGUCUGCAGUAAAUAUGAAGCUAAAGUAACAGGCAAUGAAGAGCUCACCUGCUGCCUCCAGGGCUGCUUAACAUGCUGCAACCAGGCUGAAUGGUGCAUAUUGGACUGGAACCUGGAUCCUUGAGUAAAUGAAAGGAGAAAAGCCCCUAUCCAGUAUAUCAGAUUUGUGUAAACCAAAAAAUAAACUUUCAAUAUGGUAACUAAACUGGAAUAACGCAUAUGACGGGGGAGAGUUCCCUGACCCUCUUGCGAGUCUUGCCACAGGGAGGGUGUGGAGGGUUGGUGGUAGCUUGUUUUGCUUUGUUGCUGAACUCAAGCCCCUUGCAGGAGUGGGAGCAUGCAGCACUCUCCAGGAAAAGCUGCCUGCUAGAUAACAUGAAGACACGCCAGCAGCCUCAUGGGGGUGGAGGGAAGAGAGGCCUCAUGGUGAGGGACUGAGGCCUCCUACUAAAAGCCAGCACUAACUUGUCAGGCAUGAAAGUGAGCCACCUGGAAGCACAUCUUCAGCCCCUGUGGACCCUUUAGAUGACUGCAGGCCCUGCUGACAUCUUGACUGAAACCUCAUGAGACAGCUAGAACCAGAAUCGCCCAGAGAGAAGAACAUCAAAGGUGCGGGUUUAGGGCCCAGAAAGCCACUGGCCCCUUAAUAUCCAGAAAAGGACAAAAACUCACGGGAGUCAAGCACUGUUUGCCUGGAAGAAGAAAGAUAAAGACACAGACAAGCCCUGCUCCCCCACCAGCCAAAACUACUAUUCUACCUGUUUCCUGAUUCUGACCCACACUUCAAGGUACUUAUGAAGAGGGACUAUGUCUGAGUUUAUGCAUUAUUAUGUUCCUAACACCUGGGAGAAGGUCUGGUACCCAGUUGACUCUUG